UUGGUACUUGGAGAGUGGUUAUCCCUGUCCUGUUCGUUUUACUCAUGUCGAAUCGUACAGGGUCAUCCACUUUUUCAGUAUCAA
ensembl:miRNA MIR487B microRNA 487b